UUACAGAUUUAUUAAUUAUGAAAUUAAUAAAUCUAUAAAUAAAAGUAAUUAAUUUAUUGAUAAUUAAAUUAAUAUAAUUAUGUUUUAAUUAUUGUAGAAAUAAACUUAAAACUUAAUACUAAAGUAUAUAAUAAAAUCUAUAAUAAACUUAAAAUUCUGGUCAUGGUCAAUUGAAUAGAACAGGCAGCUAUCUUGACCAUGGUAUAAAUUGCCUUAGGGUUGUAAUUAAGGUUCUGGCCAAAUAUAUAAUGUAUCUAGGUAUUCAAUUGGUUGUUAGUUUUGUCUUCUUUGAUUUUAUUGGUUGUUGAUAUUUUCCUCCAAAUUCUUGGAGCUGGUUUGUCAUAUUUCUUUGUCACAUCAAAGAGAGUGGAGGUUUUUCGUAAUCUGAAAGCUGACUUUUGAAACGUAACAAACUCUACCUCUUGUUGCCAUACCAGAUAGUACACUGUACAUACCAUAGAGUUGUAAUACUGUACAAGAGCGCAUUCCCAUAGAAUGGUAUGUUUAACUGUGUUUUAUGAUUUAGAAUAAAAUAGUGAUGUCUUUAUCUGUUUAUAGACAUUACAGAUGAAUAUCAUUGUAAACCUAUUUUUAGAUACAUGAAUUAAUACAUAACGUAAUUCAUAGAUGUGUAAUGGAUUAAUGUAAAGAGUUGUUCCCCUUUAGCGCAACUUGCUCCGAUUGUAAUAUUUUUAUGCCGUAUAUUUAUAUUGUUGUUAUUCAUUGUAGGGCUAUUCAUUUGUUUACCAUCUAUAUUAAUAAAUAUUGGAGAUGCCCAGAA